GGAGGAUCACUUGAGCCCAGGAGGUAGAGGCUGCAGUGAGCCAUGAUCGUACCACUGCACUCCAGCCAGGGUGACAGAG
rnacentral:snRNA from 1 species